rnacentral:rRNA from 1 species
GACGAACGCUGGCGGCGUGCUUAACACAUGCAAGUCGAACGGAAAGGCCCUGCUUUUGUGGGGUGCUCGAGUGGCGAACGGGUGAGUAACACGUGAGUAACCUGCCCUUGACUUUGGGAUAACUUCAGGAAACUGGGGCUAAUACCGGAUAGGAGCUCCUGCUGCAUGGUGGGGGUUGGAAAGUUUCGGCGGUUGGGGAUGGACUCGCGGCUUAUCAGCUUGUUGGUGGGGUAGUGGCUUACCAAGGCUUUGACGGGUAGCCGGCCUGAGAGGGUGACCGGCCACAUUGGGACUGAGAUACGGCCCAGACUCCUACGGGAGGCAGCAGUGGGGAAUAUUACACAAUGGGCGGAAGCCUGAUGCAGAAACGCCGCGUGCGGGAUGACGGCCUUCGGGUUGUAAACCGCUUUCGCCUGUGACGAAGCGUGAGUGACGGUAAUGGGUAAAGAAGCACCGGCUAACUACGUA